AGCGGCGGACGGGUGAGUAAUGCUUGGGAACAUGCCAUUAGUGGGGGACAACAGUUGGAAACGACUGCUAAUACCGCAUAAUCUCUUUGGAGCAAAGAUGGGGCUCUUCGGACCUAUCGCCUAAUGAUUGGCCCAAGUGGGAUUAGCUAGUUGGUGAGGUAAUGGCUCACCAAGGCGACGAUCUCUAGCUGGUCUGANAGGAUGAUCAGCCACACUGGAACUGAGACACGGUCCAGACUCCUACGGGAGGCAGCAGUGGGGAAUAUUGGACAAUGGGCGCAAGCCUGAUCCAGCCAUGCCGCGUGUGUGAAGAAGGCCUUCGGGUUGUAAAGCACUUUCAGUUGGGAGGAAAGCUUAGUCGCUAAUAUCGGCUAGGUGUGACGUUACCAACAGAAGAAGCACCGGCUAACUCCGUGCCAGCAGCCGCGGUAAUACGGAGGGUGCAAGCGUUAAUCGGAAUUACUGGGCGUAAAGCGUACGCAGGCGGUUGAUUAAGCGAGAUGUGAAAGCCCCGGGCUCAACCUGGGAACUGCAUUUCGAACUGGUCAACUAAGUGUGAUAGAGGGUGGUAAAUUUCAGGUGUACCGUGAAAUGCGUAAAGAUCUGAAGG
rnacentral:rRNA from 1 species